GCAGGCAUGGCGGAAUUUGGUAGACGCGCAGGAUUUAGGUUCCUGUGUCUUUAUGAUGUGAGAGUUCGAGUCUCUCUGCCUGUA
rnacentral:ncRNA from 12 species